rnacentral:rRNA from 1 species
AUGGACAAGCACAUUGAGAUGUCUUACUGCCGCUUUGAGAGCUUCAAGAUACUCGCCAAGAACUACCUGGAUGUGGUGGAGCACGAGCUGUUUGGGGAGAUUCAGCAGCUGCUUGAGGAGACCGACAUGUCGCCCGCUGACGUGGCAGAGAACCUGAUGCCCUUGUCCAAGAAGAAAAAGAGGGACCCUGAUGUGUGCUUGGCAGGCCUCAUCGAGGUGCUCAAGCAGGCCAAAGAAGACGCGACGGUCGCCAAGGCGAAGGAGGAAGAGGUGGCCAAGGAGGCUGAAGCGAAGAAAGCCAAGGAGAAAGAGGAGGCUGAAGUGAAGAAAGCCAAGGAGAAAGAGGAAGGGAAGGACAAAACAUCAGAGGAAGCCAUUGGAGACAACAUGCAAGCUGACAAGAUACAGGAGUAG